rfam:Aedes aegypti strain Liverpool supercont1.35 genomic scaffold, whole genome shotgun sequence.
GGCUCGGCAGCUUAGUUGGUAAAGCGUUUGUCUAGCAUUCAAGAAUCCUGGGUUUGAAUCCCAGCCGAGCAC